AGCCUUAUAUUCAUUUAUGAUAAUAAAUUGCAAAUUUAGAGGUAAAUUAUUUAAUUUUAAGGCUU
rnacentral:tRNA from 1 species